rnacentral:lncRNA from 10 species
UGAUUCUUGAAUAUACAUCAUUUUAAUAUUCUGUGUGACAAAAUGAGAAGUACACAUAAAGCAUUUCACUGCAUACCCAAGUACAAUGGUUGUCUAGAGGAAAAGUACUUGUGUGACUGAGUGGAAGGCUGAAGUAGCCACUUUUGUCAUGGAAUACCAUUUUUUACAUGAAAAAACAACUGACAGGUAUUUGGCAGAUAUUUUCCCU